rnacentral:rRNA from 1 species
GACGAACGCUGGCGGCGUGCUUAACACAUGCAAGUCGAACGAAGUGGCGAACGGGUGAGUAAUACGUGGGUAACCUGCCCUCCUUUUUGGGAUAAGCUUUGGAAACGGGGUCUAAUACCGAAUAAAGGGGGAUGGGCUCGCGGCCUUUCAGCUUGUUGGUGGGGUGAUGGCCUACCAAGGCGGUGUCGGGUAGCCGGCCUGAGAGGGUGACCGGAAACGUUGGGACGGAGAUACGGCCCAGACUGCUACGGGAGGCAGCAGUGGGGAAUAUUGCACAAUGGGCGAAAGCCUGAUGCAGCGACGCCGCGUGGGGGAUGAGGGCUUUCGGGUUGUAAACCUCUUUCGAUAUCGAGCGGGUAGGUGGAGAAGAAGCGCCGGCUAACUCCGUGCCAGCAGCCGCGGUAAUUC